AAUUGACAAAGUUAAAGAACAUCAUAGGAAGGCUAAACGUUCUAGCCAUAAUAACGAGGAACAUUUCAGCCAACAUUCAAAUCCUCAAAUGAACCAUUUUCCCGGUCAACAUUUAAAUUCUGAAAUGAAUCAUUUUCCAAGCCAAAAUUCCAAUCCCAAAAUGAACCAUUUUCCUAGUCAACAUUCAAAUCCUCAAAUGAAUCAUUUUCCUGGCCAUGACUUCAAUACAAAAUACAGGACAAAUAAAGCUCCAAGUUUUAAUGACUUUGUUGACACGGACAGUUCCAGCUCAGUUCUAAAUUUUUCUAAGGUAUUUACAAUUAUUGCAGAUGAUACACAUACACGCAGACUGUGUAGCACAAUCAAAAAAGCUUUAAAAGAGGGACGAAAGAUACCCGAUGGACUUUCAAACUCAUAGAUCGAAAAAUAAACUGAUAACACCAUGGCUAGAAAGAAAAAACCAAACAGACAAAUAAUGGUAUAAAAAAUAUACAAUAAGUACAAAUGGUUAGCAAGUAUACUGACCUAGCAAUAAACAUGAUAAAUUAAUAGAAAAACGAAGGAUAGAGUCACGUGAUCAAACAUGUAUAAAAUAUCUUCCUCGUAUAUGCCAAUAGUCUGACAUAUAAUCCACAGAUCUAUAAUUUUUCACCAACAAAAAGGGCGAAAAUCUUGUAUUUACAUCUCACACAAAUGUUUUUCGUAUUAUUAUCUUUUCACUUCUUUCGUAGUUUUUCGAGUUCAUACGUUUGAUUAUUUUUUCAUAAUCUAUAGAAAAACAUAACAUCGGGAAAAAUGAUGUCGUUAGUAAUCUAUCAAUUAGAAAGAGACGUAAGCAAUAAGAACACGACAUUUAAUUGUAGUCGUGCCUUUGCAUAUGCUGUAUCUAUUUGGUGUUUUAAAUCACUGGUUCAAAAAGUAAAAUCAUAAAAAUAAUGAUCUCCGAGGAAAAUUCAAAACGGAAAGUCCCUUAUCAAAUGGCAAUAUCAAAAGCUAAAACUCAUCAAACAAAAGGAUCAAGAAGAUAUAUCAAUGAAAUCUAAUAACAAAAUUAAACGAUCCAGGUCUUCAUGUAGACUUCAACAUCUUGCUCAUGGCUUGACGAAAAUCUAAUACAAUUCAAGAUAUGUUUUUGUUAAGUUGCAUAUACAGUAGAGAAUUCUUCAAUGUUGCAUGAAAAAAUCGUAAAAAUAUUUUCUAAUUUAAAUUUGUCUUAUUGAAGAUUUUUACAGCAGGAGAUAUGGUGCAAAUGGUAGAAAGGAAAUUUGAACAUCGAAUGACACAGCGCAUAACGCGGUAACAAUUUCUAGACAUCUGCCCGUCUGUAAUAUACAGUUUGUUGCAGCGUUCAGAAAUCAAAGACAAAG
rnacentral:lncRNA from 1 species